rnacentral:lncRNA from 1 species
UGCCCUGCCGAAACCUCCCGCCUCUCCACCCCCCCGAGCAGUGUGAAUUCUUUUUAUUUUACUUUUAUUUUACUUUCUGUCUGCAACAGGCUGCUUUUAAAAUCACAUUUGGAUAGCACGCACGAUUUUUGGAGGAUAGUAUGCCUUUUUGCUUAACCGCUACAAGAAAAUGGCACAAGUAACGUGAUUCUGAAUUACGGGCCUGUAAACUUCAAAUAACACUUUUCGUUAGUAGCUAAUUGGUGGUUCACAACUUCCACUCUGGUUCUGCCAAACCACGUGUGUGCAAAGGGGUGCGUGCCGUGCUCGUUGUGCUUGCGCUCCCCAUCUCCUUGUCUUUUUCUUUGAAACCACAGUGUUGAUUCAAGCCGCUUUAAGAAAAUUUUCAAAUGCUUCCAUUACAUGUUGAAAAACAUACAGGAAUGGAUUAAGCAAAAUGUCUAAAUUUAUAAUAUCAGGACAAAGCGUAAUCCUCGCAUGCUCCUCUGCCUUUCUUUUACAAUUUGACACGAAGAAAGCGAGUAUCCAAAAAAAUGAUUGUGCAAUGGCUGCAAAUUGAACCCCCCCAAAGUCCUGUAGUAAUAGCGCGUAUCAGAAAUACAUGGCUUAAACAGGAUGUUUCCAGCAAAUGCAACUGUACGUCAGAAUUGGAAGUGGGGAUCCCAAGGCAAAUAAUUCUAAUGCAGAAAGAGCAAAAACUGGGCAGGGGAAGAGCGAUGAAAACAGAGGACUCCAAGGUGCUGGAGGACUUGGUGGACAAGGAGAAAAGGACAAAGAGGUGGCUAAGAGGUGGUUGAAAGAUUGAAUGAAGAAUUGUGGAAGCAGAGCAAGUACCAAGGUGGGAGAUAAGAAAUAUCUAUCAUCAAGCCACAAAGUGGAAACCAGCACUUGUUGAAUAGGAAUAAGACUGGUAUGAAGGUGGGUCAGGCAGGAGAGCAUGCAUAAAGGAUCAGGCUUGUGAAAGAGAGAGGGAAGGAGCUUUGCUGCCUUCCAGAGCAGAAGAUGCGUAAAUCUCACUCUACUUGUCAGGAUGUAUAAUUACUCAUUUCCUCGAGUGACAGGGGCCUGUUAAAAUGUUGUUUCUGUCCUUGCAAAAGAAUUAUGCAGGUGUCAGUAUGUUACCAUAGGACAGAAUUUUGUUUUUUCAGUUAUUCAUUCAAUUAUUGUUUUUAAAAUACUGCAAGAGACUAAAGAGACAAAAACAAAUCCCAAAUUCCCCCCAAAACCCCACAGAGAUUUGUAAAAUAAAGCACUUCAAUGAGGAAAUGCCA